GGGCAUGUAGCUCAGUGGUAGAGCGCCCGCUUUGCAUGCGGGAGGUCUAGGGUUCGAUCCCCUACCUGUCCA